UGUUGAUGGCGACCGGCGGACGGGUGAGUAACGCGUGAACAAUCUGUCCCAGACAGGGGGAUAACACUCUGAAAAGGGUGCUAAUACCGCAUAAGACCACGUUCUCGCAUGGGAAUGGGGUUAAAAGAUUUAUCGGUUUGGGGUGAGUUCGCGUCUGAUUAGCUAGUUGGUGAGGUAAUGGCUCACCAAGGCGACGAUCAGUAGCCGGCCUGAGAGGGUGAUCGGCCACAUUGGGACUGAGACACGGCCCAAACUCCUACGGGAGGCAGCAGUGGGGAAUAUUGCACAAUGGGGGAAACCCUGAUGCAGCGACGCCGCGUGAGUGAAGAAGUAUUUCGGUAUGUAAAGCUCUAUCAGCAAGGAAGAAAAUGACGGUACUUGACUAAGAAGCCCCGGCUAACUACGUG
rnacentral:rRNA from 1 species